UUUCCGUAGGUGAACCUGCGGAAGGAUCAUUACUGAGUGAGGGCCCUCUGGGUCCAACCUCCCACCCGUGUUUAUUGUACCUUGUUGCUUCGGUGCGCCCGCCUCACGGCCGCCGGGGGGCUUCUGCCCCCGGGUCCGCGCGCACCGGAGACACCAUUGAACUCUGUCUGAAGAUUGCAGUCUGAGCAUAAACUAAAUAAAUUAAAACUUUCAACAACGGAUCUCUUGGUUCCG
rnacentral:misc_RNA from 1 species